rnacentral:rRNA from 1 species
GACGAACGCUGGCGGCGUGCUUAACACAUGCAAGUCGAACGCUGAAGCUCAGCUUUUGUUGGGUGGAUGAGUGGCGAACGGGUGAGUAACACGUGAGUAACCUGCCUCCUUCUUUGGGAUAACGCCCGGAAACGGGUGCUAAUACUGGAUAUUCACUGGUCUUCGCAUGGGGGUUGGUGGAAAGGGUUUUUCUGGUGGGGGAUGGGCUCGCGGCCUAUCAGCUUGUUGGUGGGGUGAUGGCCUACCAAGGCUUUGACGGGUAGCCGGCCUGAGAGGGUGACCGGGCACAUUGGGACUGAGAUACGGCCCAGACUCCUACGGGAGGCAGCAGUGGGGAAGAUUGCACAAUGGGCGCAAGCCUGAUGCAGCGACGCCGCGUGAGGGAUGGAGGCCUUCGGGUUGUGAACCUCUUUCGCUCAUGGUCAAGCCGCAACAAUGGUUGUGGUGAGGGUAGUGGGUAAAGAAGCGCCGGCUAACUACGUG